ACGCCCCGCCCCGAGGACGUCCUCCCUGUCAGGCUGGCUGGCAGCUCGCCUGCUGUUUUGUACCUGAGCAGAUUCAGCUCUCUGCUGUCCGAGCUGAGGCGAAAGUCCGGUGCCUUAAGCGUGGAGAGCGGUGGUGGCCAGAGGCUUGGCGAGUUCCCCUUCAGGUGUGCCUCGGCGAGCGGCCUAUGCUGUUUGGCACUCAUGGGUGUAAGCAAGUUAGAUAUUCUAUACCGGAGACUUCUUCUCACAAAACUUUUCAUCAGAGGAUGGGGAAGGCCAGAAGACCUCAAGAGACUCUUUGAAUUCAGAAAGAUGAUUGGAAAUCGAGAAAGGUGCCAGAACCUGGUUUCAAGUGACUACCCGGUACACAUCGAUAAGGUUGAAGAACAGUCAGAUUGUAAGAUCCUAGAUGGACACUUUGUUUCUCCCAUGGCCCACUAUGUGCCUGGUAUCAUGCCAAUUGAAUCUGUUGUUGCAAGAUUCCAGUUUAUCGUGCCUAAGGAAUGGAACAGCAGGUACCGACCUGUGUGCAUUCAUCUGGCUGGAACAGGAGACCAUCAUUACUGGAGGCGCAGAACACUCAUGGCUCGUCCUAUGAUUAAGGAGGCCAGGAUGGCUUCAUUGUUGUUAGAAAACCCUUAUUAUAUCCUUUUGUGAUACUCAAAACAUUUCUUUCUCUCUGUUUAUGUACUUACUCUUCAAAAGAAGAACAUCCUGUGCUCUCAACCACUGAGCCAUCUCUCCAGCCCCCAUGGAAGCCCAAGGACCAAGUAAGAUCCAGCUUAAAAAAUGUGUCAGACCUAUUUGUGAUGGGAGGCGCUCUUAUUCUUGAGUCUGCAGCUCUCUUGCACUGGCUGGAGAGGGAAGGUUAUGGACCUCUUGGGAUGACUGGAAUAUCCAUGGGAGGACAUAUGGCCUCCUUAGCAGUGUCCAACUGGCCCAAGCCCAUGCCGUUGAUUCCAUGCCUGUCUUGGUCCACAGCAUCUGGGGUCUUCACUACGGGUGUAUUGAGUAAAUCAAUUAAUUGGCGGGAGCUCGAAAAGCAGUAUUAUACACAGACAGUUUAUGAAGAAGAAAUUAUUCAUAUGCUUGAAUACUGUGGGACAGAUUCUUUCAAAAUGGGACACGAGUUCAUGAAUCACUUGCCUAGCAAUGCAGACAAGCUGACUAACCUGAAUCUGGUUUCCAGAACUUUAAAUUUAGAUAUGACAGACCAAGUUGUAUCCCCAAAGGAUGCCAAGUGCCAUAAGUCUGGUAAAACAUCUAUCAGUGCUCCUUCAAAUGGACAGCUGUUGCAAGAUACAGCUAAGAUGGAAUGCUUGAAUCAAACGCUCUCGACUAACAAAAGUUGGUUUGCAAGUUACAACCCUCAGUCAUUUCACCUGCUCAAUAGAGAACAAAGAAGAAGCAAUCGUCAAAAAGAAUCUUUAAUAUUCAUGAAAGGAGUCAUGGAUGAAUGUACUCACGUAGCAAACUUCUCAGUUCCAGUUGAUCCAAGCCUCAUUAUAGUGGUACAAGCCAAAGAGGAUGCCUAUAUUCCACGAACAGGAGUUCGAAGCUUGCAAGAAAUUUGGCCUGGUUGUGAAAUCCGGUAUCUAGAAGGGGGUCAUAUCAGUGCUUAUCUCUUUAAACAAGGACUCUUCAGACAAGCCAUCUACGAUGCCUUUGAACGUUUCCUUCAUAAAUAUGCUAACUAAUUGGAUUGAUGUAUUGUAUAACAUCCUAUUUCCUACAAAAAGAGUUUACCCAAUGAUGAUGUGAAAAACAAGCAAACAGCACUACAUACUUGAUUGUUGCCAAAUUAGUCUGUGUUGCCAGUGUUACGGGUCAGUUACAAACUGUGGAUACAUUUCAGUAAUGAAAAAACUACUUGAAAAAUACAAUCCUGAAGUAUUUGUAACUCUUUAAAAAAUCUCAUAUACCUUAUACAACAUCUGUUGUUACUAUUUAUGAAAACAUUUUAAUUGUGAAUAAUUUAUUGAUUCAGAAUAAAUAGAAACUAUUGGUUUUUUAAUAGAAUUGUUGAAACUAAAAUUGUAACAUCACAUGUACUGUAUAUUGUUCUAUGGCAGUUUUGCUAUUAACUUGAUUUUAAAAACUCGUGUCUAUCCUUUUUGUGUGUGUAGUGGGUUUAUAAUUUGGUUUUCAACUUUAGGUGAUUUAUUGCCAUAGAAAUACCUAAGAUAUAAAAUCAGUGUUAGCUUUGAAUUAUGAAAACAUCCUGAGUGCUGAGCUGCACCCUCUGUGGUAGUGCACUUGUAGUCCCAGCACUUGGGAAGUGGAGACAGGAGUGUCAGGAGUCCAGCCAUUCUGUUUUUCAUAGCAAAAUUUGAGGCCAGCCUGAGCUGUAUGAGACCCUGUCUCAAACAAUUGCCUGGCAUGGUAGCUCAUGACUUUAAUCUUAGCGGGUAGGAGACAGAGCCAAGCAGAUCUCUUGAAGUGCCAAGGCUGGGACCAUGCUUGCCCAGCCUACCUAGACUCUGAGGCCAGUCCCCAGCACUGCCAAAUGAAAAGAAAAGCUGGAGGUAUUUGGGAAAUGGGGGUUAUACAUGUUUUCUCUACUUAAGAGAGUUUUAUGUCGAAAAUGGAAAUAAUAAAAGAACAUUGUACUAGAUGGUGGGUUCUGUCAGACAUUUCUUAUACACCUGUUCUUCAGUUGCUUACAGACUGAGUUAACAACUUUGACCUUUUAAUUUCAGAAUUUAAAAGCUACAUAUUAAAUUAAACCAUUGUACAGAAAAACACGAGGUUUUACACACUGCUAGCUUUUUAAAUGGAAAUUAUAUGGAUAGAUAUUUGGUGCUAAUGUUAAACUGCUCUGAGCUAAAAUGUUUAAAAGGCAAAUGUGUUUACUUUGAAAUCUGUAUUGCCCUUAAAUUUAAAUUAGGUCUUGCAGGUCUAGUGAGGAUAUGUGGAUUGUAACAUACCUUCUGCAGCUUUUUAAAAAGAUGCUAUCGCACUCCAAUGUCUUUGCCACUAAAAUUUCUACCAGCUAUUUAAACAUCUUUACUGUGAAAUCAUUGAUAGCAAAGAAGUAGCUUCUUGGACAUUACUUUUUAAGGUUUAUUAAUUUUAUGUAUAUAAGUACACUGUCACUGUCAUCAGACAUAUCGGAAGAGGGCAUCAGAUCCUAUUACAGAUGGUUGUGAUCUACCAUGUGGGUGCUGGGAACUGAACUCAGGACCUCUGGAAGAGCAGUCAGUGCUCUUGACCACUGAGCUAUCUCUCAGCCCCUUGGACACUAUUUUCAAGUAACAUUACAGUAGAGCUGUUAGAGCUACAGCAAUUUUGUACUUUCAGGCUUGAAUACAAAUACAAGAAAACCUGGUCAUGGUUGUGGUGGUGCAUGCCUUUAAUUCCAGCAAAGUCAGGUACUCUCUGAGUUGGAGGCCAGCCUCUGGGCUACACAGAGAAACCCUGUCUUGAAAACAAAACAAAACCACAAAACAAACAAAAAAGCAAAAGAACUGGGUGUAGGACCAUGAGUGGUGGCACCCUCUUCCUCCUGCACUGGGAGGCAGAGUUCAGGGUCAGCCUUGUCUUCAGAGGAGUUCCAGGACAACCAGGGCUACACUGGGUAUUACUGGAGGUACAUCCCUGAAAUUCCUGCACUUGGGAGGCAGAGCAUCAGUCAACCACAAGGUUCAGGCCAGAAUAGUCUACAUAAUAUAUUCCAGAUCAACUAGGGCUACCUGUCACAUAUAAGUUUAUUUUCAUCUUUUAAGUGGCUGUUUCAAGACAGCAUUCGCAAAACUACCUAAACUUAUUAAUUCAGAGAAGAAAAUGCCUUUACUCACAUUUCUUCAAAUCCACUCUGCAAAAUAGUAGCUUAAGUACUAUAAAGUCUCAAACCCUUGGGACAAAUGGCUGAAAUGCUUAUCUAACAUAUCAAAUUGAAUCUGGCCACAAGGUUCUCCCGCCAUCCCUACUUGGUUUCCACACCCCGCCUCCUAUAUUGAACUCUCUGAACUUUGCUGCCCCCAACAUACACACACACACACACAUACACACACACACACACACACACACACACACACACACACAAGUUGUAUAUAGUCUUUGAGAAAUUAAUGUAUUCUCAAAGAAGUCCUCUAUGCCAUUUUCCUGUCACUUUGUGGAUUAGGUCUAUGAAAUACUACAGAUUCAUUCAGAGCAGAGUUGCAAGGAGCUCACCAUGGGCCAGUUUGACCCAAUUUUAUUUGGUGUACAUAAGAGUGGGCAUUCUUAUAUGUAGCUACUACUCUAUAUUUACGACUCAGCCCUAAAGACCCUGAAGAAGUAGUUCUGUAGUUAGACUUCAUAAUUUACCAAUGUUGUAAGUAUAUCAUUUUAUCAAUGUAUUUUAAUGUGGUGCUUUCUCUAUUAAAAUAUUAACAAUAUAACAAUUUUUAAAAUAUUUGCCAAAUUUUAUAUUUCCUAAUAAAAAUCUAUUUUAGAAAGUA